GACAUAUUCAGAACAUGGCAGCUUCUAGAAUUGGUUCAAUCUUCUGCUCGAGUGGCAGUGGCCAAAGGCCUGGAGCCGACCAAGGAGAGGUUAUCUAGGUAAGAAUCAUCAGUGGCUGAUCAUCCCUCAAAGACAAACAACUAGACAAGAUGUGGCUCCUGAUGGAAGAACGCAGGCCACCACCUACAAAGCACCCUGGCUGCCUCCCUCCCCCAGGAAACAAGGCAUGAAGAGAAAACCAACCUCUCCUUUCUGGUUGAUGAUGGGAACAGCGUAUUGUAACUUCACAUCAUAGAAAAGUGACUCGAGGAAGACAUUGGCCACCCCAAUGAGACUGUGAUUUUCCUGCUCAUCAUAGAAUGGAUCAGCACGUUUGAAGUAUGAUCGUAUUACCUGUAAAGAGAUUGAGAACACACAACUUCAGAAAAACCAUUUACAAUAAAUGCAUUCAACCUAC
rnacentral:lncRNA from 1 species